rnacentral:misc_RNA from 1 species
GAUGAAGAACGCAGCGAAAUGCGAUAAGUAGUGUGAAUUGCAGAAUUCCGUGAAUCAUCGAAUCUUUGAACGCACAUUGCGCCUUCUGGUAUUCCGGAAGGCAUGCCUGUUCGAGAGUCAUUAACAACCGUUUCGAUCCCUUUCUUUCAGAAAUUACAAAGACGAAAAGGGUUUGGUUAUGGUGGAGGAGGGAAAGGGAGCGUUUAGCCUGUAAAAAAAGAGGCUGUGUUCCGCCUCCCCCCCAAAAUUGUACAGGCGGUCGUGUGCGCCCACGCAUCGAGGUGUUGUAAAAGCUGCCACGGCACUUUUCACCUGUGCAGUGCGAGAUUGGCCAGCCGGUUUAAAAACCCCUCCAAACAAUCAAAGGUUGACCUCGGAUCAGGUAGGGAUACCCGCUGAACUUAAGCAUAUCAAUAAGCGGAGGA